UACGUAGGGGCCUAGCGUUGUCCGGAUUUAUUGGGCGUAAAGAGCUCGUAGGCGGUUCGGCAAGUCGGAUGUGAAAUCUCCACGCUCAACGUGGAGGGGCCAUUCGAAACUGCGCGGCUCGAGUGCCGGAGGGGAGAGUGGAAUUCCUGGUGUAGCGGUGAAAUGCGUAGAUAUCAGGAGGAAUACCGGUGGCGAAGGCAGGUCUCUGGGCUGACACUGACGCUCAUGCACGAAAGCGUGGGGAGCAAACAGG
rnacentral:rRNA from 1 species